UACGAAGGGUGCAAGCGUUACUCGGAAUUACUGGGCGUAAAGCGUGCGUAGGUGGUUCGUUAAGUCUGAUGUGAAAGCCCCGGGCUCAACCUGGGAACUGCAUUGGAUACUGGCGAUCUGGAGUGCGGUAGAGGGUGGCGGAAUUCCCGGUGUAGCAGUGAAAUGCGUAGAUAUCGGGAGGAACAUCCGUGGCGAAGGCGGCCACCUGGACCAGUACUGACGCUCAUGCACGAAAGCGUGGGGAGCAAACAGG
rnacentral:rRNA from 1 species